rnacentral:lncRNA from 1 species
UUCUUAGAUUAGUCAAUGCCAGUUACUUCAUAAUCAAUCAUCCAUGCAGGUCUUCUUGUAACAUGUUGAGGUCAUUCUUUAUUGUUUGCUGAUGUUGGCAUGCUUAGAACAUUUACUGGGCCAUCUGGAAGUUGUUGAUCAUUUUUUGCCCGCUGUGUUGGCUGUCAUCUUCAUUAACUACAUCAUAGUUGAAUGGUAUUUGAAACAUUUCUCCAUUAAAAACUAAAUCACUGACUGAUAAA